UUCAUUCUAUCAGAAUAAGCUUCAAAAUAUCAGAUAUGUUGCAUGAAGAGAGAAAACCAUAAUCGUUUGCAUUAUUGUGGUUCUUUUGAACCUUGAAGAGAUGGAAAAAAACAUCAUGGUCAGAUUACCUCCUUUAUACUCACACCAGUGAUGAAAUACCUUAGAAAAUGCAUAUCUCAGUGGAUACAACUUUGAAGGGGCGAUCAACAAAUGAUUCAACACACCGAUUUCAAAUUCGUUAUAGGGAAGACGAUAACAUAUGAUGGAGAACACA
rnacentral:lncRNA from 1 species